rnacentral:rRNA from 1 species
UCAAGCGCGAGAAGGGCGUUUGGUGGAUGCCUUGGCAGUAAGAGGCGAUGAAGGACGUGAUACUCUGCGAUAAGCUUUGGGAAGUCGAGAAUAGACGCUAUACCCAAAGAUCUCCGAAUGGGGCAACCCAACUGAUACUUUGUUAUUGUUACACUUUGUGUAAUCAAUAAUGGGGUAAAACAGUUAUUAAUUACCUGAAUACAUAGGGUUUUUAAAGCAAACCUGGGGAACUGAAACAUCUAAGUACCCAGAGGAAAGGAAAUCAAUAGAUACUCCCGUAGUAGUGGCGAGCGAACCGGGACCAGCCGAGCAAUGAAUGUGACUAGAACCAGUUGGAAAGCUGGGCGAUAUGGGUGACAGCCCCGUAUAGGAAGCAUGAUUUGACGUAUUAAGUAGGGCGGAACACGUGAAAUUCUGUCUGAACAUGGGGGGACCACCCUCUAAGGCUAAGUACUCCUUACUGACCGAUAGCGAACCAGUACCGUGAGGGAAAGGUGAAAAGCACCCCGACGAGGGGAGUGAAACAGUUUCUGAAACCGGACGCCUACAAACAGUUGGAGCCCCUUAUGGGGUGACAGCGUACCUUUUGUAUAAUGGGUCAACGACUUGGUCUUACUAGCAAGCUUAAGCCGAUAGGUGUAGGCGCAGCGAAAGCGAGUCUUAAUAGGGCGAAUGAGUUAGUAGGAUCAGACCCGAAACCGAGUGAUCUAGGCAUGAGCAGGUUGAAGGUAAGGUAACACUUACUGGAGGACCGAACCCACAUCUGUUGAAAAAGAUCGGGAUGACUUGUGCCUAGGGGUGAAAGGCCAAUCAAACUCGGAGAUAGCUGGUUCUCCGCGAAAUCUAUUUAGGUAGAGCGUCAUCCGAAUACCCCGGGGGGUAGAGCACUGGAUGGGUAAUGGGGCCCCACAGGCUUACUGAUCCUAACCAAACUCCGAAUACCCGGGAGUACUAGAUGGCAGACACACUGCGGAUGCUAACGUCCGUAGUGAAGGGGGAAACAACCCUGACCUCCAGCUAAGGCCCCUAAUUCAUGGCUAAGUGGGAAAGCAGGUGGGACGACCAAAACAACCAGGAAGUUGGCUUAGAAGCAGCCAUCUUUUAAAGAUAGCGUAACAGCUCACUGGUCUAAUUUAAGUUAUCCUGCGGCGAAGAUGUACCGGGGCUCAAGCCAUGAGCCGAAGCUAGGGAUGCAAUUUAUUGCAUGGUAGCGGAGCGUUCUGUGAUAUAGAACGCUGCGUCUUUAGUAUCUUAGGAUAUUGUGGACGCAAUGUUCUGACUGUGAAGCCGGCGCGUAAGCGAUCCGGUGGAGUGAUCAGAAGUGAGAAUGUUGACAUGAGUAGCGACAAACAGGGUGAGAGACCCUGUCGCCGAAAGUCCAAGGGUUCCUGCUUAAAGCUAAUCUGAGCAGGGUAAGCCGACCCCUAAGGCGAGGCCGAAAGGCGUAGUCGAUGGGAACCAGUUUAAUAUUACUGGGCCAGGAGAUGGUGACGGAUCGAAAGCGUAGUGACUCCUUAUCGGAUUGAAGUUGCUGCCGGACGGUUCCUGGAAAUAGCCCUCCAUUAGAUCGUACCCUAAACCAACACAGGUGGACUGGUAGAGAAUACCAAGGCGCUUGAGAGAACUACAUUGAAGGAACUCGGCAAAAUACCUCCGUAAGUUCGCGAGAAGGAGGCCCAGUUUCUACGCAAGUAUUGGCUGGGGGCACAAACCAGGGGGUGGCGACUGUUUACUAAAAACACAGGGCUCUGCGAAGUCGUAAGACGACGUAUAGGGUCUGACGCCUGCCCGGUGCUGGAAGGUUAAGAGGAGGUGUGCAAGCACUGAAUUGAAGCCCCAGUAAACGGCGGCCGUAACUAUAACGGUCCUAAGGUAGCGAAAUUCCUUGUCGGGU